rnacentral:lncRNA from 1 species
ACCUAGACAGUGUAUUAAAAAGCAGAGGCAUCACUUUGCUAACCAAAGUCCAUAUUGUUGAAGCUUUGGUUUUUCCAGUAGUUGUGUAUGAAUGUGAGAGUUGGACCAUAAAGAAAGCUGAGCGCCAAAGAACUGAUUCUUUCAAACUGGUGCUAGAGAAGACUCUUGAGAGUCCCUUGGACAGCAAGGAGAUCAAAUCAGUUAAUCCUAAAGGAAAUCAACCUUGAAUAUUCAUUGGAAGGACUGUUGCUGAAGCUGAAGCUCCAGUACUUUGCUCAUCUGAUGCAAAGAACUGACUCAUUGGAAAAGACCCUGAUGCUGGGAAAUAUUGAAGGCAAGAGAAGGGGACAACAGAGGAUGAGAUGGUUGCAUAGCAUCACCAACUCAAUGGACAUGAGUUUGAGCAAACUCUGAGGGAUGGUGAAGACAGGGAAGCCUGGCAUGCUGCAGUCCAUGGGGUCUCAAAGAAUCGGACACAACUUAGCAACUGAACAACAACUUUUCUUUGGGAUAAAAAAAAAAAAGGUGGAUGCUUUAAAUAACAAAACCUACACAAGAGUAAAAAGCAUUUUUUUUUUUUUUGGCUGCACAGCUUGCAGGAUCUUAGUUCCCUGACCAGGGAUUGAUCAAACCCAGCCCUGGCAUCACUGCCAAGUCCUAACCACUGGACCACCAAGGAACUACCUGGAGAAGCAUCUUUUGAAGGGCUCCCAUCUAUGCUUUCAGUGGAAAGGUACACCCAGGACUCAGUAGUGACCUUUCUGUUUGAUGAAAUCGAUGAACAUCAUGCAUUCUCCUGGAACGGUAACUUAAUAUUUGUUUCAUUAAGACUGGGAGAGGUGGCACAUGGUGGGGGAGGGAGGAAUAUCAGCCAUAAACAGCAGGGGGUGAUCUGUCCAAAAGUCAGGGAAGAGAAAUAUCUACAUACAUACAGUGGACAGGAAGACUGCCCCAGAAGACAUCAGAAACAUUCAAUUAUACAUCAGACCCUUGUCAGAAGACUUUUGGGUCUUUGCUUUCUGCACCAUGCAACAAAACCUUUCCUGUACCCAUGUAUGUGCAUGCUAAAUUACUUCGGUCGUGUCUGA